rnacentral:rRNA from 1 species
GGAUGAACGCUAGCUACAGGCUUAACACAUGCAAGUCGAGGGGCAGCGGUAUCGAAAGCUUGCUUUCGGUAGCCGGCGACCGGCGCACGGGUGAGUAACGCGUAUCGAACCUGCCUCAUACUCGGGAAUAGCCUUGCGAAAGUAAGACUAAUACCCAAUGAUAUCUCUAGAAGACAUCUGAAAGAGAUUAAAGAUUUAUCGGUGAUGGAUGGGGAUGCGUCUGAUUAGCUUGUUGGCGGGGUAACGGCCCACCAAGGCUACGAUCAGUAGGGGUUCUGAGAGGAAGGUCCCCCACAUUGGAACUGAGACACGGUCCAAACUCCUACGGGAGGCAGCAGUGAGGAAUAUUGGUCAAUGGACGAGAGUCUGAACCAGCCAAGUAGCGUGCAGGAUGACGGCCCUAUGGGUUGUAAACUGCUUUUAUAAGGGAAUAAAGUGAGUCUCGUGAGGCUUUUUGCAUGUACCUUAUGAAUAAGGACCGGCUAAUUCCGUGCCAGCAGCCGCGGUAAUACGGAAGGUCCGGGCGUUAUCCGGAUUUAUUGGGUUUAAAGGGAGCGUAGGCCGGAGAUUAAGCGUGUUGUGAAAUGUAGAUGCUCAACAUCUGCACUGCAGCGCGAACUGGUUUCCUUGAGUACGCACAAAGUGGGCGGAAUUCGUGGUGUAGCGGUGAAAUGCUUAGAUAUCACGAGGAACUCCGAUUGCGAAGGCAGCUCACUGGAGCGCAACUGACGCUGAAGCUCGAAAGUGCGGGUAUCGAACAGGAUUAGAUACCCUGGUAGUCCGCACGGUAAACGAUGGAUGCCCGCUGUUGGUCUGAAUAGGUCAGCGGCCAAGCGAAAGCAUUAAGCAUCCCACCUGGGGAGUACGCCGGCAACGGUGAAACUCAAAGGAAUUGACGG